AAAAUGGUGAAGCUGUUGUAAGAAAUGUAAAAGUUGCUCAGGAUUUUGGGUAUGUUGAAGAUAUAUAUUAAGUGUUGUGCUCUGCACUCAUUAAUGAGGAAACAUUGAAAAAAGCCAAAGGUGAUCUAUUACGAAUGACUCCAUUGCCAAUGAAUUCCAUGUUGGACAAGCAAUCAAAAAGUGAAGCUAUCUCAAAAAAAGCAAGAAGACAAAGCCCGCCAGCUGUACAUGUUCCCCCAACUAAGCCAGCUGAAGUAUCACCUGCCCAAGAAAAAAUCACUGAUCAGAGAAAUGAGAGGGCAGCACCUCGAUGCACUGUGUGCAAGAUUUGGAUGAAAGGCCAUAAAAAUAUAAUUAACUGUCCAAAAAACCAAAAGUAACCACUUUUUUAAGAGCUGGUGGUAUGAGCCCAGUUAGUUGGGAUUCAGUGAAGUGUAAAAUGACUGCAUGGAAAGAAUAAAAAGAAAAGGAAUUGUAAUUUUUAUGUUUUGUAUAACAAGAAUAAGUGUGAAUCAAAGAUGCAAUACAUCAACAGUGGCUAAAAUCAUUCCAAAAUUCACUGAAUCCCUACUAGCUGGGCUCAUGCACACAACACCUAAAAUGAUAUAUAAUGUUAUGUUAUUUUACAAAUUGUCCUCUUCAUACC